rnacentral:misc_RNA from 1 species
AAGUCGUAACAAGGUUUCCGUAGGUGAACCUGCGGAAGGAUCAUUACAGUACACUGUAAUAGUGUUGGGAACCUGAAAAGGUGCCCAAUACUUCUAAACCUUGCAAAUAAUUAAUCGUUACCUCGGCGGGCUUGCCCGCUGGCGGAUAUACACUAAACUCUUGUAAACAUGCUGUAACUAGUGGAAAAUUGUCUGAAAAUAUAUUAAAUAUUUUAAAACUUUCAACAACGGAUCUCUUGGUUCUG